UAUACAACUCACAUAGUUUCGGUUCCGUAGCACGUUCGUGCAACUUCGGAUUUCUCUCAAAAAUUUAAAUUAAAAAAAUCGAAGGGUUGUGUUAGGUUAGUCACAACAUGCUUUAUCUUCUGAUUUAGCGGCUGAAGUGGCGUUAGUACCAAAACGCAAAACUUCGGAAAUCUUUGCAAAUUCUUGCAGGGAACCGAAACUACGUUUCCGCGUCCAGUGUGCUAUAAGACGUUCCAGCCCUUGUGCGUGCAUGCAGUGCACUCAGCCAUGUCUGUUUUUUAGUCUGACUUCAUCGCAACAAAGAGGACCACGACCGAGUGCCCGCGGCCGAGCCCUCAAUGCCAGCCUGCGACAUCACAGGCGUGAGGUCGACACUGACGACAACGCCAGCCUCCAAACCAGUGAAGUGGAGUGUGAAGUGAAGAGAGUGCAAGUAACCCCUUGGACGACGACAAGCGACAGGCUUCGUGUAUCGGGGAUGUGUCGUGGAGCAAAUGGGAAAUUACUCCUACCAAAUGACGCAUACCAAGAGCUAAGAUGUUUACACAUAAGAAAAGUAGUCAACAAACAGUAAUAAAAGCCUGAAGAGGAUGUCACUGCACUGGCCGCCUCCACUACUUUCCACCCUCCCUCCCCCCUUCACACUCUCCUCCCCAGCCAUGGUGUUGUGAUAUCACGCUUUUACUGUGCCUGAAGCAUGCGCGGACACGCAAGUGUUAUGCAUGAAUACGGGUGUCUGCGAGGCCUCCGCCUUAUUUUAGGUCAGAAUUUUGUACAAUGCAUUAGUUAAGGUCACAAUCAUACAACGGGAACCUCGGGCUUUGCAUAGCCCAUGUUUUUGCUUAAAUUUCUUAAAUGUUAAAGUUUUCAUGGGUUGUGUUUGUGUGUGUGUGUGUGUGUGUUUGUUGCUCAAUGAAUGCAGCAAAGUAACAUAGUUUUACUUUAUGUGCUUUUUCUCAAUUUUUAAUUUUAUUUUGGAUUGUCAUGUUAUCAAUUUAAAUACUUAAUUGAGUUGUACCUUUGCACUGAAGUUGACCAACAUUCAUGAGGCCAUGCAGGGUUUGGUCAUGUCCUGGACGCAUGUUGUUUCGGUAUGUUUGAAUUCUGUUUUCUUUAAUUUUCUUAACGUAAAUUCUUUUGAGAACUUAUUAUGUAUUACUUUCAUCUGUUCAUGUUUGCGUAACUAUUGGUGCCUGUUGCAGCUUUAGUUGUGUCCAUUUAACAACAUGCAUAUGACGUUUCAUUCCUUAAGUGACACUGUUUUGUGUAAAGUUUGCUAACCUCUAUGUUUGCUAUAAACUGGCAGCUCGUACACCCUUAAAUGUUUCAGCCAUUAGGUAAUAACUCUGUUAAUUAUUACAUUCCACGGUACAGUUACAGUUGUUUGAUGGCCUUACAUGCGUGUGUCGUUUGUGUGUAAGAUGUUACACUGUUUGAUCCUUUCUGUGUUACACAUUUCAUAUAUGCGUUAUUUACCUGGUUUAAUAUCACUUUUACAUGUAUAGCUGUGAGUAUUAACUUGUAAUUAACAGCUUCCACAAAUAUAAGAAUUUUUUUAAA